GGAAUAUUCUGAAAUGUAUUUUAAGCUAAUUUCAAGGGCGUCGUCGCAAAAAUUUUAUAUAGGGGAGACCCUCUUUUAUAUAUCUACAGAAUAUUCAACACUUUUUGCUCGUUUUUGGAUUUGUAAAGAAAAGUCUUUCACGUUCUUGAGACAUUCCCAAUAAAAUAGAAACUAAAAUGCUAAAGCAAUCCAAUCCUUGAAAAAACUGGAUUCUGAAAUGCUUCUCGUUGACAUUGCUCCAAAGAGAACGGACUUGUUUUAAAACUUUUGAAUACUGUUAACUAUUUUUAGAUAUUUGAUAACAACUUUGGAAAAUCACUUUUUAUACGUAGUGCUUCCUUGCAUUACACAAUUCAGGAUAUAAAUGUUAGUGGAAUGGUGAAGGAAAUAGACAGUUGUAGAAUAUGGUCAGCCACAAAACGCUACAUAUGACAUUGUAUAAAGGGAAAUUGCCACGUAAAAAUGCCAUAGUUUUCCCAAACGCAUUUCCAAGGGUCUUGUCAGCAAAAAUGUUCUCCUUUUUGCCCCAUCUAUCUUCCAACCCUGGCUAUGCCACUGCUUUUUAUCGUCUUUACCUUAAAGUUGAAACCAAAUUUUAAAAAUGGGCGUUUACCAGUGAUUUAAAGGGUGUAGCAUCAAAAUUAGUGUCUAACACCCCCAAUCAUUGUUGCUUAAAUCUGCCCCUGGCCCUUAGGGAUACUUUGCGUCGCAAGUCGCAUUCUUCUCUAUAUUUCAAAUCUCGCCUUCUCUUUGCUCGGCUCGUUCCUUUUCUAGCCACUUGAUAACGAGUACAUGCUCAAAACGUCGUGUUUUCAACAAUCAAACUAUUAUAUUUUCAUUCUGGUACUAAAUUUAUUUGCUAACUAUAUUAUUGUACGUGACUUUUCCCUUUCAAACUAUUUCAAGACGGAAUGUAAUACAGAGUAGAAAUUUGUUUAAUUGUGAUAAAUGUUGUGUUUUGUUUGAUUUUACAAAAAAAUAAUUAUUAAGAAUAUUCUAGCUCAAAAUCAUCAAACUUUUAUAAAUGUUGUAAGAAUAUUUCUCAGGUAUAGCUUGCCCAUUUUUCAGCAGUUGCUUGUUUCGACAUUUACAUAAGAGAGAAUCGCUACACUGACCUUCCCCUUUUUUCCAAAAGCGCGUUUUCUAUUCAAGAACGAGGGAUGUUCUCCUGAAACCUUAGAUUCGAAAAACUAAGAAUAAUUCAAGAAUAUAUUUGGGUUAAAGGGAAAUUUCGUAAGAAAACCGAGGCUGGACAAAAUUUAUAAUAUUGUUAUAAAAAGAAUGUAGUUAUUGGUCCUCUUUCUGUUAAAUUGUUGUCCUGGAUUAUAGGUCUUGAGCUGGGGUCUUACAUAAACAACGGCCAUCGACAUUAGUUGACCUUAGCUUGACAACAUGACAUAAUGGUUUAAGUUUGUUGCAAUAACACAGAUAAACUUACCGUAAAUUCCCUUUUAAGCCCCCCUGGGGGCUUAUUGUUUUUCAGCACGUUAAAGGAGGGUUAUAAAAGAAGGGGGCUAAAUUGGGAGAGGGGCCUUAACAAAACUUUUGUAAUUUAAAAUCAUUUAUAGUGGUUAACUAAUUUUUUGCUAUUUGCCAUAUAAAAAAAACAUCAAAUCAGCCUUCUAAACGGGCUGUAAUUUUGGUAUAAGGCUGUCACAUGGCCCCUGCUCAAAUCACAUUAAAUCUUUGUCUUCGGAUCCUUCGAGACUGGAAGAAACAUGGUGCGAAGUUGGAUUUUAUUAGAAGUAUUGAAUGACCAAUGAAUAAAAUGAAAACCUGCAUUUUUUGCUAGGUUUACUUAUUUUGGCAUCAGUGAAAAUUUGGGGGGGGGCUGCAAAUUGAGAGGGGGCUUAUUUAAUUUUUCCUUCUGAUUCAGUCACAUCAGCUUGCUUAGGUGCCAGUAAUUUUAACCUCCUUAUAGAAGCAUAUGUAUGUAUGUAGAAAUUUGUCUGAUGAUAUUUCCGUAGCACAGUGCUUGGCAACCGUUUUCCUGGGAUUGUCGGCACAUCGUGAAUUGGUUUCUAGCGCCACCCCCGACCCUCACUCAGUAGUAUAUUCAUAAUUCUAGUGUUAUUAGAUGCUUCUGGGGGUGCUUGGGGGUGUUUCGUUAGAAACUUGAGAGGGGGCAGAAACUACCAUUUUGCCAAAAGAGCUUAUUUUAUAUGGGGUGCCACGAAUGCUCUCUCGUCUUCGGUUCCAAGAUAUGAAUAACCAAAAUUGUUCUAAGGUCUUUAUAAGUGUUUUUUAGGUUUUUUAAAAGGUUAUGCUCGGUUAUUCAGAAAGUUAAGAAAGUUCAGGGCUGUAUCUUUGAAGCCAAAGAAUGUUGAAAAUUUAGAUAAUAAAAAUUUCAACAGAAGUUACCUUUCAAGAGUGAAAUGUUUACUGCAUUCCAUCUUCUUCAUCACUGUACAUGCUCAAUAACGUAAAACUCUUCGAUUUACGUUUAGACAGUGUUAAGAACGUUUCAGGCUUAACAAUAAUUUUUUGCGUAAAAAACGUGUAUCGCUAAAAUAAUUUAAUUUCUUAACCACACAAAGAUUAGAGAAUGGCGAUGCCAAGGGAAGAACAAUUCCUGUCCCGCUGACCUUGGGUCUGAAAAGCAAAGCGUUUUGAAAGAGAAAUCGUGUUUUUAUCAGGAUUAGUCUAAUAUUUAGCCACGAUUAGGCCUGCAAACAAAAGGCUGCUUCCUUUUUAUUCAAGAGAUUUCAACUUGAAGUAAACCACGAUUUCAUGACAAAGAUUGAUUGAUGGGAAAUUAUGAGAAUAGGGGAUGUUAGGAAUCCUUGUUUGUUACCCAAACCUUAAGCAAGGUACAUAAACCGAAAUAUGGGUCGGAAAGUUAUCUCCUCUACGUUUUUUGUAGUCGUUUACGAAUUGUUUUUGGUGUUUUGUUUGGUGUCAAAAUUAUGUUAAGGUCUGCAUUGUUCUUAUACAAUCGCCAUACACCUGCAAAUGGGUUAACAAUGAGGCAAAGCGUGGUUACGAACAUGACAUCAUGUCCGCCUUACGUUUCAGAUUAAUUAUAGCGCAUAUUUGAAAUCCGCGGUAUGUUUUCAUUUAGAACAUUGUGAAUUUCUCAGAGAUGAACUAGGCUACAAUCUAUCGAUCGACGAAAUAUCUCGUUGAUGUGGUACUCAACCAAACUUGAAUUGUAACGAGUAGUUCUGCACUGUUUGGAUCAAGACUAGUUGGAAACAAACAAUAAGAGCAGCAUGCCGUGCCAGAUGUGAAUGAAGGCGAUAGACUUUGCAUGGUUAGCGAAUCUUCAACAAUGUGAGUUCUCGGCAGGACCAAACGCGAUCUGGACAUGCCCGUUCGAAGGCUCAAAUGUAUCUAAAGGUCACUUUCGGACACUGUAUAAGCGCAUAGAUUGUUGACUUAGCGAAUAAAGAAGUUCAGCUGUGGUUGUUUGCGGAUUUAGAGUUUCAGCAAGAUCUAGUCAUAUUAAAAUACCUAUCAAUUAGGAAGUACUUUUGCCUGUGAAAAGCUGAAGAAAUGUCAUAAACUAUGGGUCUAAAGUUUCGACAAGUUCGCAAAUUUUAUUUUACUCUAAUUUUUCUGUUUAUAGCUGCCUUUUUAUUGAUGGCUAAAUUUUCUAAACGCUAUUCUUGCAAAAAUCGGCUCAGUGAAAACUGCGCUGAAGAAGUAACAGAGCAGCGGCUUGACGAAGCUAAUCACAACGACGCCCGACGUGAAGUGCAACAGUUGAUCCAAGGAGGUCAGACAUUAGAAGGAAUCAAGACUGGCCCUAACGUUCCAAAGGCUUCAAAUCGCUUUAGGAGAAUGGAAAGCGACUCAGUCCCUUACCGGGAGAUUCCAGAUCAUCAUAUCCUACCAGGGGAAAAAAUAAAGCCUUUUACUACGGCGAAAAGAGUUAUAACUCUUUCCAAAGAAGUACGAAACUUUGAAGUAAAAAGCAUGUUCAUACAAAUCAAAGAAGCAGACAGUCCGAAAUUUGGAGAUUUUAGAUGCAGUGCUACUAUAGUUCCUGACUGUUGUGCAUUUACUGUAAGUGAUACGAACGAAGCCAAGCGAAUUUGUGAGGCUUUCGGAGUUUUCUGCAAAGGAUUUGUUAUGAGUACUAUUAGUUCAAAGGCCGACUCUUUUGAAUAUGUUAUGUAUUUGAAAAAAGACCUGAACGGAACAAUGGCAAAUUUUCUGACUGACUUUUUUAUUAAAGUUGACUUUUUAGAUGAGCUAAAAUGGAAUAAUAAAAGGUAGCAAUGUGAAUUUAUGGUUGAAAAAUUUAUGAUUAAGGUAAGCCUCUCGAAAAUAAUUUAAAGAAAAUAAUAUCGUCGUUACCUUGCAUUGGUAAUUUCGGUAACUUCUUUAAAAGUAUACAUUAGAGAUAUCAGGAUAAUUCAUAAUGUUGCCAAUUACUUGAUGAAAACAUCGACAAAAGUUUCCCUUGGUUCAACGCCUGAAGGUCGCCGCCUUAAAGUUGCUGUAGAAAAUUUAACAGUAAAUACUUAGAGGCAGCGCCAUUUAAUUAAUUAAAAAUUAUGUUCUAGUUUGCGUCGUAUGGCUGGAAAUCACCUGCAACAAUUAUUGUUGUUUCAUCUUUUGAGGAGUUGCUCAUUUUAGAUUAUGCGAUCUUUAAUGCCAUUUUAUUAUACAACUGUAGAUAAAAGGACAAUUCUUGCAAUUUUGAAAUUAAAGUACUUUCCUCCGAACCCCUAAAAACCAAGUUAUUUCUUGUAGACUAAAAUUCAGUUUCUAGCUGUAGUCUUGCAAUUUUUGAAAGGAAAUGUUUUAUUAUUUGAAAGUGCCGAGAAGGUUUUAAUACCUUUUGCGAUCGUUUUUUGAAAUAAUGCAUUUAAAUUAUUAUUAUUAUUACCACAAUAUCUGGGCUUCAA